UACGAAGGGUGCAAGCGUUACUCGGAAUUACUGGGCGUAAAGCGUGCGUAGGUGGUCGUUUUAAGUCUGUUGUGAAAGCCCUGGGCUCAACCUGGGAACUGCAGUGGAAACUGGACGACUAGAGUGUGGUAGAGGGUAGCGGAAUUCCCGGUGUAGCAGUGAAAUGCGUAGAGAUCGGGAGGAACAUCCAUGGCGAAGGCAGCUACCUGGACCAACACUGACACUGAGGCACGAAAGCGUGGGGAGCAAACAGG
rnacentral:rRNA from 1 species